CUCCUAUUUAUUUGUAUUGUAGUCCUGUAAUAUUAUGUUGUCAUUUCAAUGUUAUAUUUAACUUUGCCAUUAAAGUGCGAGGUUUGGCAUGCCAUAAAACCAGGUUCAACCCACCACUUUUAUUCCCCUUUAAAAGUGUCCUGUACCAAGUCAGGAAGAUGGUCAUUGUUAUAUUAUUGUUCGUUUCUCUGUGUGUUGUAUUUUAACGUUGAGUCGUUUGUGUUUUCUCUUGUUUUUGAGAUAUUGAGAUAAGACGUGGCACGGUACUUGUCUAUCCCAAAUUCUUGUAUUUGGUUUUCAUGUUAUAUUUGUUAUUCUCGUGGUGUUUUGUCUGAUGAUUGGUCAGUUUCUGUGUGUGUUGCGUUUCGGUGUUGUGUCGUUGUUCUCCUCUUAUAUUUAAUGCGUUUCGCUCGGUUUUGGUUUGUUACCCCGAUUUUGUUUUUUGUCCAUGGAUUUAUGAGUUUUGAACAGCGGUAUACUACUGUUGCCUUUAUUUAUAAACAUG
rnacentral:lncRNA from 1 species